UCCCAGUUAGUAUAGUGGCUAGUAUCCGCCCCUGUCACUUUAAAAGCAGAUCGGGCGAGACCCGGGUUCAAUUCCCGGACUGGGAG